UUGAUGCCUCCCUUACCGAACGUGAUCUUCUCUUUCGCAUCGCGCGUGAGCUUACCACCAUCCGGCAAGGCGUUAGCAAAGCGCUAUUCGCAAUGGGCGAGGCUGAAAAGGAAGUCCCUGAAAGCAUGCGGCGGUUCAUGAACUACUUCCAUGAUAUCGUCCAUGUGAAGGGCGAAUACGUGUCCUUGGGACUCAAACCACCCCCGGAGACCGAUAGCGCACAGUA
rnacentral:rRNA from 1 species